GGGGAAUCAGCCUUACGACCGUUGGCAGAGAGAUAGACUAGUUAUAAGCCUUGGUUGUUGUGUGCAAUUCAUUGCUCAUUAUGGUCUUGGCGACUGUCUUUCCUCUAAUAAGCUAAUGGUUGUUGGGUGCACUUCCCCUCGUCUUUUGGACGUCGCCACUCGCUGACGACUUGUUCUGGAAGGGACGCUGCUUAUCACAAACUGGUAAGCAGUGGUGGCUGGAGAUGUAGCACUAGUGCACUCUGAGCUGCCUUCCAGAGUCGGUGAGAAGUUGGCUCUCUACUCUGAAUUCCCGCUGUAGUUGAAGCGAGGGAUAGCUGGGCUUUGUUAGGCUGUGUUGUGCCUUCUGUCUAGUUGUUGAUUUUGUCUCUGCGACUUUGCUUUUUUUUUAAAAUCUUUUUC
rnacentral:rRNA from 1 species